rnacentral:tRNA from 1 species
GCCCUCGUAGCUCAGGGGAUAGAGCAGGAGCCUUCUAAUCUCUUGGCCGCAGGUUCGAAUCCUGCCGAGGGCACCC